AUACGGAGGGUGCAAGCGUUACUCGGAAUCACUGGGCGUAAAGCGCGCGCAGGCGGCUAUUUAAGUUGGAUGUGAAAGCCUACGGCUCAACCGUAGAACUGCAUCCAAAACUAUUUAGCUAGAGUGUGGGAGAGGAAGAUGGAAUUAGUUGUGUAGGGGUAAAAUCCGUAGAGAUAACUAGGAAUACCAAAAGCGAAGGCAAUCUUCUGGAACACUACUGACGCUGAGGCGCGAAAGCGUGGGGAGCGAUCGGGAUUAGAAACCCUAGUAGUCC
rnacentral:rRNA from 1 species